GAGGCAGCAGCAAGGAAUUUUGGGCAAUGGGCGAAAGCCUGACCCAGCAACGCCGCGUGAGGGAUGAAGGCCUUCGGGUCGUAAACCUCUUUUCUCAGGGAAGAAAAAAAUGACGGUACCUGGGGAAUAAGUCUCGGCUAACUACGUGCCAGCAGCCGCGGUAAUACGUAGGAGGCGAGCGUUAUCCGGAUUUAUUGGGCGUAAAGAGAGCGUAGGCGGUUUGUCAAGUCGGAUGUGAAAUCUCCCGGCUCAACUGGGAGGAGUCAUUCGAUACUGAUGGGCUAGAGUGCAGCAGGGGAAAACGGAAUUCCCGGUGUAGUGGUGAUAUGCGUAGAUACCGGGAGGAACACCAGAGGCGAAGGCGGUUUUCUAGGCUGUUUCUGACGCUGAGGCUCAAAAGCGUGGGGAGCGAACAGGAUUAGAUACCCUGGUAGUCCACGCCGUAAACGAUGGACACUAGGUAUAGGGAGUAUCGACCCUCUCUGUGCCGAAGCUAACGCUUUAAGUGUCCCGCC
rnacentral:rRNA from 1 species